rnacentral:rRNA from 1 species
GGGAACCUGCCUCAAAGAGGGGGACAACAGUUGGAAACGACUGCUAAUACCGCAUAAGCCCACGGUGCCGCAUGGCACAGAGGGAAAAGGAGCAAUCCGCUUUGAGAUGGCCUCGCGUCCGAUUAGCUAGUUGGUGAGGUAAUGGCCCACCAAGGCGACGAUCGGUAGCCGGACUGAGAGGUUGAACGGCCACAUUGGGACUGAGACACGGCCCAG